rnacentral:rRNA from 1 species
UACGAAGGAUCCAAGCGUUAUCCGGAUUCACUGGGUUUAAAGGGUGCGUAGGCGGGUUGGUAAGUCCGUGGUGAAAUCUCCGAGCUUAACUCGGAAACUGCCGUGGAUACUAUCAAUCUUGAAUAUCGUGGAGGUAAGCGGAAUAUGUCAUGUAGCGGUGAAAUGCUUAGAGAUGACAUAGAACACCAAUUGCGUAGGCAGCUUACUACACGAUCAUUGACGCUGAGGCACGAAAGCGUGGGGAGCAAACAGG